CAGCAGUAGGGAAUCUUCCGCAAUGGACGAAAGUCUGACGGAGCAACGCCGCGUGAGUGAUGAAGGCUUUCGGGUCGUAAAACUCUGUUGUUAGGGAAGAACAAGUGCUAGUUGAAUAAGCUGGCACCUUGACGGUACCUAACCAGAAAGCCACGGCUAACUACGUGCCAGCAGCCGCGGUAAUACGUAGGUGGCAAGCGUUAUCCGGAAUUAUUGGGCGUAAAGCGCGCGCAGGUGGUUUCUUAAGUCUGAUGUGAAAGCCCACGGCUCAACCGUGGAGGGUCAUUGGAAACUGGGAGACUUGAGUGCAGAAGAGGAAAGUGGAAUUCCAUGUGUAGCGGUGAAAUGCGUAGAGAUAUGGAGGAACACCAGUGGCGAAGGCGACUUUCUGGUCUGUAACUGACACUGAGGCGCGAAAGCGUGGGGAGCAAACAGGAUUAGAUACCCUGGUAGUCCACGCCGUAAACGAUGAGUGCUAAGUGUUAGAGGGUUUCCGCCCUUUAGUGCUGAAGUUAACGCAUUAAGCACUCCGCCUGGGGAGUACGGCCGCAAGGCUGAAACUCAAAGGAAUUGACGGGGGCCCGCACAAGCGGUGGAGCAUGUGGUUUAAUUCGAAGC
rnacentral:rRNA from 7 species